rnacentral:rRNA from 1 species
AUAAAUUAUUUAAAGUUCUAGAUAAAAUAUUUAUAAUGACUAUUUUUUAUCUAUAAGUCUUGGCCAAAUUACGUGCCAGCAGUCGCGGUAAUACGUAAAAGACGAGUGUUAUUCAUCUUUAAUCGGUUUAAAGGGUACCUAGACGGAAAAUCAAGCUUAAUUAAACUAAGGACUAGUUUUCUAGAGUUUGACAUGAGAAGGUACGAACUAUCAGAGGAGAGAUAAAAUUUGUUGAUACUGGUGGGACGGACAACGGCGAAGGCAAUCUUCUACUAAAAACUGACGUUGAGGGACGAAGCCUUGGGGAGCGAGAAGGAUUAGAUACCCUAGUAGUCCUUGGAGAAAAUUAUGAGUGCCAUAGACUAAAGUGAAAAAGAAGUUCUUUUAAAAGAACUUUGUAUCUGAGCCUUAAUUGGAUACAAAGGUCUCGAGUAGCAGUUUAUAAAUGAAAGUGUAAGCAUUCCACCUCAUGACUAAAGCGGCAACGCCCAAAUUGAAAUCAUUAGACCGUUUCUGAAACCAGUAGUGAAGUAUGUUAUUUAAUUCGAUAACCCGCGAAUAACCUUACCACGUUUUGAAUUUAUUAAACAAGUGUUGCACGGCUGUCUUCAGUUAAUGUCGUGAGAUUUUGGUUUGUUCCAUUAAUUAACGAAAACCCUUGUUUCAUUUUUAUAUGAAAUAGUUCACCGUUAUAUUGGAAAGAUAAAAGGAUCAAGACAA